GAAAGCUAUAAGGACUCUACACUUAUCAUGCAGUUGUUACGUGAUAAUCUGACACUAUGGACUUCAGACAUGCAGGGUGACGAUUCCUAAAGGAAAACCCAACUCUUCCUUUCCUAAAAACUCUACUUUGUGAAGAGCAGAAUAAAGAAGCGCUGCAGGACGUGGAAGACGAAAAUCAGUGAGACAUAAGCCAACAAGAGAAACCAUCUCUGACCACCCCCUCCUCCCCAUCCCACCCUUUGGAAACUCCCCAUUGUCACUGAGAACCACCAAAUCUGACUUUUACAUUUGGUCUCAGAAUUUAGGUUCCUGCCCUGUUGGUUUUUUUUUUUUUUUUUUAAACAGUUUUCAAAAGUUCUUAAAGGCAAGAGUGAAUUUCUGUGGAUUUUACUGGUCCCAGCUUUUAGGUUCUUUAAGACACUAACAGGACUACAUAGAGGCUUUUUCAGCAUUACUGUGUCGUCUCCGUGCCAGAUGUGGCAAGAUCACCAUUAGCAAAUGGAAAUUACAUUUGAAAGCCAUUAGACUUAUAGGUGAUGCAAGCAUCUAAGAGAGAGGUUAAUCACACUAUAGAGGCAUAAGUGGUAUCAGUUUUCAUUUUUCUAAUUGUUUAAACUGUGUUUUAUACCAGUGUUUGCAAGUAAUUGGGUGUUAGCUUGAGAUGGUUAAAGGUGGUUUGGGGAGGGACUUCGUUGUAAUGGUUUUGCUGUAAAAAAUGUUUCCAACUCCGCUGAAAUGUUGCUGAAAAGCAUGGUGCUGGUAACAGUUCAACAAUCCGUGGCUGCUCAUUCUUGCCUACUUUACUCUCCCACUGAAGCAGGUUAGCGUUGAAGGUGGUAUGGAAAAGCCUGCAUGCCUGUUCAAUUCUUUUGUUUCUUCUCCUUCCCCCUCCCCCUACCUCCUUCCCCUCACUCCUCCCCUCCUUCGCUCGCUCAACCUCUUUUGUUCAGUAUGUGUAACUUGAAGCUAAUUUGUACUACUGGAUAUCUGACUGGAGCCACAGAUACAGAAUCUGUAUUGUUCUUACUGAAACACAGCAUGGAAUUAACAUUAAACUUAAAUAAAACAAACCUAAAUU
rnacentral:lncRNA from 10 species